rnacentral:lncRNA from 1 species
GUCCUCUAUUUCUUUUUCUUUUUGAUUUUAUUUUUCCUGUGCUAUCACGUCCAUAUUUCAAAAAUCGUUUUUCUUAUGGUGUACUCAGUUCUGACUCAUCAUCCGUGUCUUUUACUUGCUCCGUUUCCUCAUGAUCAUACUGUGUAUUCGUCCCUAUUACCUUCCAUAGAUUCCUAUGUAGUUCACUAUCAUUCUCCUUAUCCUUUUUAAUCAUUUCAAUGCCAUUUCUCAGAAGCCCAUUAUUUUGGGCUAUAACUCUUAUAGGAACUCUUAACCAUUUACCGUAUUGGAAUA